AUAUUCUUUAUUGUUUUCCUGUUUUCAGUUUCAUUGAUUUGUGCUGUAAUUUCUGUUACUUCUUGUUUUCUGCUUGCUUUAGGUUUAUAUUGCUCUUCUCUAGUUUCCUAAGGUGGAAACUUAGAUUGCUGUUUAGAUCUUUUCUCUUUUCUAAUAAUAUGCAUUCACGGCUAUAAAUUUCUCUCUAACCACUACUUUUGCUGCAUUCAACAAGUUUUGAAAAGUUGUAUUUUCAUUUUCAUUUAGUUCAAAAUAUUUUAAAAUUUUUCUUGAUACUUGACACAUAUGUUUAGAAGUAUGCUUAAUAUUCAAAUAUUUUGAAAAUUUUCAGCUAUCUUUCUAUUAUUGAUUUCCAACUUAAUUCCACUGUGACCUGAGAGCAAACUUUGUAUGAUAUCUUUUUUAAGUUUGUUAGGAUGUUUUAUGGCCCAGAAUGCACGUUCUGAAUGUUGGAAGCUGAAUGUUCCAUGUGAGCUUGAGAAGAAUUUGUAUUCUGCUUUGUUGGAGGAAGUAUUCUAAAUCUACGGAUGUCAGUUAGAUCCAGUUAAUUGAUGGUGUUCUUCAGUUCAACAAUGCCUUACUGAUUUUCUGCCUGCUGUAUCUGUCAAUUACUGAUAGAGAAGUUUUGAAGUUUCCGGCUAUAAUAAUAGAUUUGUCUAUUUCUCCUUGAAGUUCUAUCAGUUUUGCCUCACAUACUUUGAUGAUCUGUUGUUAGGUACAUACAUGUUGAGGAUUGCUAUGUCUUCUUGGAGAAUUGGCCCCUGUAUAAUUGUAUCAUACCCUUCCUUAUCCCUGAUAAUUUUCUGGUCUGCUUUGUCUGAAAUUGGUAUUGCUACUAUAGCUUUCAUUUGAUUUGUGUUAUCAUGGUAUAUCUUUCUCUAUCCCUUUACUUUUAAUGUAGCUGUGUCUUUAUAUAUAUAGUGGGCUUCAUUAAAUAUAAUAGGAAUUAUAUAGUUGGGUCUUGUUUUUUCUAUACACUCUGACAGUCUCUGCCUUUUAAUUGGUGAUUUAAACUAUUAUUCACAGUGAGUAGUAAUAUAGUUGGAUUAGUAUCUACAAUGUUUGUAACCGUUUUCUAUUUGUUGCACUUUUUCUUUGUUUCAUUUUUAUCACCCCCACCCCCCGCCCCCAUUUUCCUGCCUUCUCUGGUUUUAACUGAGCAUUUUAUAUGAACCCAUUUUCUCUCUUCUCUUAGCACAUCAAUGAUAUUUCUUUGAAAAAAUGUUUUAGUGUUUGUCUUAGAGUUUGCAAUAUAUAUUUACAACUAAUCUAAGUACACUUUCAAAUAAUACUAUAAUGCUUCACGGGUAAUGCAGAUACCUUAUAACAAAGCAUUUCCAAUUACUUUCUUCCAUUCCUUGUACCAUUGCUGUCAUUCAUUUCACUCAUCCAUAAGCUAUAACUACCCAAUACAUUGUUGCUAUUACUCUUACUUUGAACAGUUAUUUAUUAAAUCAAUUUAAAAUAUGAAAAAUGAAAGAUCUUGUUUAAAUCUUGUUGAUUCCCUGCUAAUGUUCUUCCUUCCUUUCUUUCUUUCAGAUCAGAUCUGAAUUUCUGACCUAUAUCAAUUUCCUUCUCUCUGAGGAACUUAUUUGAGUAUUUCGUGCAAGGCAAGUCUACUGGCAACAAAUUACCUCAGUUUUUGUCUGAGAAAGUCUUUUUUUCCUUCUUCACUUUAGAAGGAUAACUUCACUGGAUGAAGAAUUUUAAGCUUGUGUUUUUCUUUAUUUUUCUUUCAACACUUUCAAUAUUUCACUUUAUUCUCUUCUUGCUUGCAUGGUCCCCGAUGAGAAGUCUGAUGUAAUUCUUAUCCUUGUUGCUUUAUAGGUAAUGCUUCCCCCAACUCUCUCAUUUCUUUCAAGAUUUUCUCUUAGCUUUUGAUUUUCUGCAGUUUGAAUGUGAAAUGCCUAGAUGUCGAUUUUUUGGAUUUGUCUUGCUUGGUGUUGUCUAACCUUCCUGGAUCUGUGUUUUGAUGUGUUUCAAUAAUUUCAGAAAAUUCUGAGCUAUUAUUACUUCAAAUAUUUCUUCUGUUCUUCUUUCUCUUUCUUUUCCUUUUAGUAUUCCCAUUAUGUAUAUGUUACACCUUUUGUAAUGAUUAUACACUUCUUGGAUAUUUCGUUAUUUUUCCCAUUCUUUUUUUCUCUUUGCCUUCCAGUUUGGAAAGUUUCUGUUGACCUAUCACCAAGCUCAUUAAUUCUUUCCCCAGACAUUUCCAACCUGCUGAUGAGCCUUUAAAUACAUUCUUCAUUUCUUCAUUUCUGUCACAAUGUUUUUUUAUUUCUAGCAUUUCCUUUUGAUUCUUUCUUAGGGUUUUCAUCUCUGUGCUUACAUUACCCACCUGUGCCUUCAUGUUGUCUAUUGUUUCCACUAGGGCUUCGUAUUAGUCUGUUCUCACACUGCUAUUAAAGACAUAUCUGAGACUGGGUAAUUUAUAAAGGCAAGAGAUUAAUGGACUCACAGUUCCACAUGGCUGGGGAGGCCUCACAAUCACGGCAGAAGACAAAGGAAGACCAAAGGGACUUCUUACAUGGUGGCAGGCAAGAGAGGGAGCUUGUGCAGGGGAACUCCUCUUUAUAAAACCAUCAGAUCUCAUGAGACUUAGUCACUAUCACAAGAACAGCAUGGGAAAGGCCCGCCCCCAUGAUUCAGUUACCUCCCACUGGGUCCCUCCUAUGACACAUGGGAAUUGUGGGAGCUACAAUUCAAGAUUACAUUUGGGUGGGGACACAGCCAAACCAUAUCAGGCUUUUUCUGUUUUGACUACCUGGAGUACUACAAUUCAAUUCUGGCACUAAUGACCUAGAGUUAGCACCAAAUUCCACAAAUUAAUGGCUCAGUCCUCCACAAGACUGCUUCUUAUUCCAGAUGCCAGCCACAAGUGGAGUCCCCAGUCCCCAGGCUCCCUGCACCUCUGACUGAUUAUAAAUUUGGGAGUUCCCAUAACUACCUCAGUUUUGAUAAUUCGAUAUGGCUCAGAACUCACUGAAAGUAGACUAUGUGUAAAACUCUACAUGUAGAGUUUUAUUAUAAAGUAUACACUUAGGACAAGAUCUGGAAGGGCUCUGGAUGCAAAAUUUUCAUACUCUCUUCCCAAGGAAUCUGAGUGCAUCAUCCUCCCUGUACACCAGUAUGUUCACCAACCAGAAAACUCCACUGAGUUUCAGUGUACACAUUUUUUAUGUGGAAUAUGAUUACACAGGCAUGAUUGGAUAUGCAAUUGGCCACAUAAUUGAGCUCAGUCUCUAGCCCUCUUUUCCAUGCAGGUAAAACUGGCCCAAAGUUCCAGCCUUCUAAUCGUGUGUUUGGUCUUUCUGGUGUCCAUCUCCCAUCCUGAAGCUAACUAGGAGUCUGUCAUGAGUUACCUCAUUAGCAUAACAAAUAAUUUCUAUCUCUCAGGAAAUUCCCAGGAUGUUUGAAGUUCUUUGUCAGGAACUAAGAUCAAAGGCCAGAUAAACUUUUUUUUUUUUUUUUUUAAAGACAAGGUCUUGCUCUGUUGCCCAGGCUGGAGCACCGUAAGGCAAUCUUGGCUCACUGCAACCUCCACCUCUUGGGCUCAAGCGAUCCUCCCACCUCAGCCUCCCAAGUAGCUGGGACUAUGGGUACAUACCACCUUGCCUGGCUAAUUGUUUGAUUUUUUGUAGAGAUGUGAUCUCACUAUGUUGCCCAGGCUGAUCUCAAACUGCUGGGCCCAAGUGAUCCUCCCGUCUCAGCCUCCCAAAGUGCUGGGAUUACAGGUCUGAGCUACCAUACCUGGCCAAAUUCUUUAUUAUACCACAGAGCCCUUAAUAUAUCAAUAAUAGUUGUUUAAGUUUCUUAUCUGAUAAUUCCAAAAUCUGAAUAUAUCUGAGUCAGAUACUGAUGCUUGCUUUGUCUCUUCAGACUUUAUUUUUUCCUUCCCUUAGCAUAUCUCAUAAUUUUUUUCUGUUGGAAGUGAUCAUGCUAUAUCUAGUAAUAGAAACUGAGUUAAUUGGGCUUUUAAUAUAAGGCUUUAUGUUGAUCUGGCUAGGAGCUAGGCUACGUUUAAUGUUAAUUGUAACGCAUAUAUGCCAGAGGCUCCAGUUUUCUAUAGUUUCCUUUUAUUCCCUGCUUCCAUGGUGCCUUUAGGUUCCGCUAAGAACUCUUUCUUAAAUAGAUUACGUCUUUCAGUUCUCUCAGUUGUAAUCCACCGUUUUUUUACUGGAGCCUUGCUGAUGUGGUGGUAAGACUUUAAGGAGGGUAAGCACUCUAUAAUCUUAUAAUUAAAUCUCAGCUAUUUUUAGUGGGCCUGAGUCCCUGAGCUGUGACAUUCAGCAUUUCUCAGCCUUUUUUUUCCUUAUCAUUAUGUGAGACACGAAGGCUAGGGGGAACUAGCAUUGUCUAGUUGCCCUUCUUCUUGGUCACAUAAGACUCUGGUAAUUUCCCUUGAUGUAACUCUUGUGACAGAGAACAGAAAACUCUGGGCUUAUUUCAAAAUGGCACUUCUUCUUUCCUCUUGCUCAAAGCAAAGGAGAUUUGUCUCCCAUAUGAUUUUUACUCUUAUGGGGCUCCUAGUGGCACAGAAAACCCUGGGCUUAUUUCAAAAUGGCACUUCUUCUUUCCUCUUGCUCAAAGCAGAGGAGAUUUCUCUCCCAUAUGAUUUUUACUUUCGGUGGGGCACCUAGUGGUAAAUCCCACAAAAGUGUGGAGCUUCCUAAAACUGGGCCAUCAGGAGUUUUUAAAUCUCAAGUUAGUCUGCACUCAGCCUUCAGCAGUUUAUCAAUUACCAUUUAAGUGUUCCUACCAGUUACUGGUUCCAGAAGCCUCUGCUCUUGGUAAACUGUAAUUCUUUGUAUUUACACAUCUCUACAGUUUUGGGGGUGGCAGUUUGCCCUGUGACCUCAAUUCUCUGGUAGAUUUAAGAAAAGUUGUUGAUUGUUAGCUUGUUCAGCAUUUUUCUUGCUGUGAGAACAGGAAUGUUGACUUCUAAGCUCUUUGCAUAUCAGAGCUAAUCAGGAAGCAUGACCGGUAUACAACUAGAGGAAGGGUGCUUAAAUCUAAGUGGAAUUAGCCUAUCUAUGGUUCAUGGCAAUCAUGCAUAUUGAUUACAGCCAGACGCCACUGAUUCUUUCAUCAAACCAACUUUUCUCCUAGAAUUGCAUUCUAUGAAUAUAAUAUUUUGUUGAGUAGUUAGUCAAAUUAAAUGCAGUUUUCAAAAGGGGAAUCUUUUAGGGAGAUAUGGCCUUAUGGUUUGAACCAGAUUUCAUUUCCACUGUAUCAAAUCCCAGUGGCCUUCUCAGUGGCAGAAUGGGUUUUUCACAAAUUCUCUGUAUUGUAGUUGUUAAUUCUUAAGUAAAGUAACUCUGGAAUGUGCUUUCUUUGGCUUAUAAGUAGACCUCCUCUCCACCUUAUGAGUUUCCAACUCUUUGCCCUUGAAUUAGACACAUGUUGGUAGAUUGUAGCCUAAGGCCUACUACUUACUAGUACUUGAUAAAAUCUUCUCCCUAGGAUGAAUGGGCAGUGGACUAAAGACAAGAAUUACAACUUUUUAAUCAAAGUGGCUGAAUCCAUAACUAUAUCUUUCUAAAUUAAGCCUGUUUUGUUAUGAACUGUCUCUAGAUUACCAUUAGCAAUGUUGUUGGUCGGAUGAUUUGGAGAAAAUGAAAGAACAUCAUGAUUUUUAUUUUCCUUCUUUCUAUAAUCCAAUGAUUCUCAACUAGGGGCAGUUUUACUCCUGCAGGGACAUUUGGCAAUGUCUGGAGACGUUUCUAAUUGUCACACCUAGAGAAGUGAUUGCUAUUGGUGUCUUGUGGGUAGAGGCCAGGGAUGCUGCUAAACAUCCUACAACACACAGGACAGUUCCCAUAACAAAUAAUUAUCCACAAAAAGUUAUCUGGCCCAAAUUGUCAGUAGGGCGGAGGUAAAGAAGCCCUGCUAGAAUCUGAGAAAUUAGCCACCAUGGCUUCUUUGUCUAUACUAGGAUCCUAAAGAUCUCAUUAUUUUUAUCUCUUUAUUAAUUUCUGUAUUACAAAGAUAAUAUUUUUCUCUGGACUAUUUUCUCAUUUGACCAAGGAAGUUAGUCUUGGAAUCCUGCCCCACGAAGCUUACAGGUCAGUAAUUCACAGUAUAAUCUCCUUAUUGGAGUGGAGGCCUAUGGGUGCUGGAGUCCUAAGAGUUAAACACCUUUGCACAAUUAUAGUGGUUUAGUGUACAGAUAAAAUUUCGAAAAUAGCCUUAGUGGAAGAAUGAGAACCAAGCUCUUUUGACCUGUUGAGCUUCACAUAUGGUUUACAGAUGCUCUCCAAUUUCAUCCUCAUAACAGCCUCACCAGACAAUCUUGUUCUUGUCAGACAAAGAGUCAAGAAGAGAACAGAAUGAUACUUUGAAGAUAAUUUUAUCCUGUUCCUGUUAAUUAGUCAAAUAUGUGCCUUGUAUAAAUUUACAACUUACACAGCGUCUACAGAGAAAUAUAAAAAUCACUCAUUAUUAUACUCUCAGAGAUAACUGUUUAGUGUAUUUCUUUGCUACUUAUUUUUUUUUUGCAUGUAAAUGCAUUUUAAGUGUAAUUGCAUUUAUUCUGUGUACAUCACCUUUAUCUUUUCCCCUCCCCUCAGUAUCAUUUCAUGGGCAUUUUAGGAGGUCAGUUGAUAUUUUCUUUCUUUUUCAGAUUUGAUAAGCUAAUUUUUUUUAUUUCAAUAGAUUUUUGGGGAACAGGUGGUGGUUGGGUUACAUGAGUAAGUUCUUUAGUGGUGAUUUCUGAGAUUUUGGUGUACCCAUUACCCAAGCAGCAUACACUUGAGUUGAUAUUUGAUAUUUUCUAAAGUAUGAUAUUUAAUGAUUUUAAAUACUUC
rnacentral:lncRNA from 1 species